rnacentral:rRNA from 1 species
CUGGCUCAGGAUGAACGCUAGCGGCAGGCCUAACACAUGCAAGUCGAACGGUAACAGGGAAAAGCUUGCUUUUCUGCUGACGAGUGGCGCACGGGUGCGUAACGCGUAUGCAAUCUGCCUUGUACUGGAGUAUAGCCCAGGGAAACUUGGAUUAAUCCUCCAUAGUCUAU